rnacentral:rRNA from 1 species
GAUGAACGCUAGCGGGAGGCUUAACACAUGCAAGUCGAGGGGCAGCACGGUGUAGCAAUACACUGGUGGCGACCGGCGCACGGGUGAGUAACGCGUAUGUAACCUACCUUGUACUGGGGGAUAGCCCGGAGAAAUUCGGAUUAAUACCCCAUAAUGAUAUUUGAUGGCAUCAUCAGAUAUUUAAAGCUCAGGCGGUACAGGAUGGGCAUGCGUAACAUUAGCUAGUUGGUAAGGUAACGGCUUACCAAGGCUGCGAUGUUUAGGGGUCCUGAGAGGGUGAUCCCCCACACUGGUACUGAGACACGGACCAGACUCCUACGGGAGGCAGCAGUGAGGAAUAUUGGUCAAUGGGCGCAAGCCUGAACCAGCCAUCCCGCGUGAAGGAAGAAGGCGCUAUGCGUUGUAAACUUCUUUUGCAGGUCAAGAAAUUUGACUACGUGUAGUCAAUUGACGGUAACCUGUGAAUAAGCAUCGGCUAACUCCGUGCCAGCAGCCGCGGU